AUGAAAAGAAAACCAAAACUCCCAAAAAGGCAAAGGAGCAGUCUUCCAGUGGAAAAUCUGAGAAACAAAAAAAGAGUUAAGCAUUACCAGAUUUUUCUUUGCUUGCACAAAGAGACUUCAAUUUGUUGGUGGAUACGAAUAGCUGCACUUGAACAAAAGCUAUUUUGCUGGAGCAAGAUAGCCUCCUGGGUGGUUUUUCUAUUGUGGUAUUAGAGUAUUUUGGCAUGGUAGGCAUAUAUUUUGCUAUUAUCAAGGAUGAACUAACUUUUUCUAGCCAUUUAUUUUACUGUCCUUAUUUUAUACGUUUCUUCAGUUCUGAGAGGGAAAGGUUGCUUUAUAUUUGUAAGAAAAAACUCCUACGGAUUAAAUAGCAAUGCAAAAAAAGUCUGCAAAUUUUGCACAUAAUCUACACAUAGUGCCUGUAAAAUCUCAGCGGAGUUCAACUUUCACUAAACCUGUUCAAUGCUCUUAGUCUAAUGAAUGCUUCAAACAAUCUGGAGUGUAAUGAAUUUUGGCUGUUAUCUACCUAUUUAGGCUGGUUGCCUCCAUGUAUUCCUUUGGGAGAUCAGUGCUAAGAUUCAAACCAAGAAGCAGAGUAAAACCUACUGUUUCUUAGCCUUGGCUUUUAAUAAUAUAGUAUUGGAUGCAAAGUGUGCCACUAUAAUUUUAAUCUCAAGUCCUCAGAACUAUGGGAGAAAGAUAGUGGUAUUCUGGGAUACAUUUUUGCAUUAACUGCUUUACUUUCUUUGGUUGAUAGAACCAGACAUCAGAGUCCAGUGACAGAGCACAUAUUUACACAAGUUAUUUUGUUGUAUUCUUCAUCCCAGGAAUUCAGAUGAAACAACUCAGCUGAAUACCAAGCUGAUUUGUAGGUUAAUUUGGAUGCAGUGUUUGCUCAAAUUUAAGAUUUUGUUUUCUUUGCUUGUAAUGAGUGGUGGUUCCAACAUUAGAUUCUGAUAUGCUUUGCAGUCUUAAUAGAUUCUCCCCCCCCCUUUUUUUUUUUGAUAUCUGGAGUAAAGUGCUACUCCUUGUUGGAUAAUUUUUCUCCCAUUAUCACUGUCAGAUAAUAGGCUACAGUCCCCCAGGAAUAUCAUCCAAACCCUUUUGAAAUGCAUGGAAGUUACACAAGAACAUGGCAAUUUUGCUAUGGUUCUUCCUUAUUUAAAAGGAUUAAGAGCAGGAGUGAAUUUCAUUCUUUGCCUUGAGGAUCAACAGAAUUCUAAUUGCCUUGGACAAUUUGUAAUGUUAAUACUGCACUGUUUUGAACAGUCUGUAUUGAGAUUCUGUGUCACACUAAUAAAGUUUUUAAAAAUGU
rnacentral:lncRNA from 1 species